AUCUAAAUCUAGAUCUCUUUCCUUGAUGCCUACAAUGUAUAAAUUUGCUCUACAGUACAUGUUUCUGGGCUUUGGAGGUCAGUUCGGUUUCAAUUUGAACACUAUUGUGCUGUAGAAGAUGCUGGCUAAUGGUUUAAUGUAUUUUAUAGGUUUUGGUCAAUGUUAUAAAACAAAUCUUUGGAGUUUGAGUAAAUCCACCACUGAAUUUAUUCCGCUGUUAGAUAACUGAAUGUGAAUUGACCCCCAGGUAAGUCACAUGCGAAGAAAACCAAUUUCAAUCUGUAGAUCACGCCUCUCUACUUGAGCAUGACUGAUGAGAAACAGACUCAUUAACAUUAAAAAUAUACAUGCCAUUUGGUGUGACAGCAGACUGCAGACACAAGCAGCAUCUGUUGGGCAACACAUGCCAGCUAGUUACACUUAAUCAAGUGGUUUUUCCCUUUAAUUCUAAAAUAUAAAUAUACCAUAGAUCUUCUUAAACUCAAAUCUGAUUCGUAAAUUCCUCCCAGAUGAAUCUCACAGGUCAUUUAAAGGCACAUUUACAGAUAAACUGUCAUUUCCAUUAAGCAGCAGACGCACAUAGAAAAGACCACAGUUUGAUCGGGCUGGCAUGAGUGAGAAAUUAUACAAACACCUGUAUUUAAAAAAAAAAGAUUCACAAUGAAGUCUUGUUGAAGUAUGAAGUAAACUAAAAGCCACAUGUCAUAUGAUCCAAAUCUCCAACUUCUAAAAGACAACCCAUAUCCCCCCAUCUUUGUAUGUCACAGUAGAACAUCUCUGGGCUGCACCUGCUUUGGUUUGAGUUUUACAUGAUUUCACAGUAAUGUCUGAAUAAGAUUCAAGAUUUUCAAGUCUGCCACCUUUUUAGACAUUCAGUAUGAAAUAAUGAUAACAUGGAUUUAAAGGAAUAGUUUGACCUAUUGCAGAGGGAUGCUUUGCUCACCAAGAGGGAGGCCAGUGUUAGACUUUCCACGUCCACAAGGGUCUGUGUGAUGUAAAUCUGUCAUCUCCACAAGUACGCAAGAGUCCACACAGACUGUGAGAGCUGAGCAUGUGCAGAAUACAGAGACAAUCAUCUACUGCACAUGUAUAGAGUCCUCCAAGUGAACUGGGGAGGAGUAUACUAACAAAAACUACAUGACCGGGGUGUCUGUAGGUGUUUGUGUCUGAGUAUAAUGAAGGAGUAAGGCUAGUCUUACAGUUUCUAUAUCUGCAAGUGCGCAUGACUGUGACGUGUUCUCCUCAGACCACUAUGCUACAAGGGCUGUAGUGCAUGUGUGGUAUACAGACACCCAUCUACAGCACAUGCAUAGAACAUGUCAUCCAAGCAACUGAAAGUAGCAUAAGGACAGUGUACUUUCCAGGUCUGUGAGCAUGCACGUGCAGAACCCAUACAUACGACUUGCCGUCCUCUGAGUAGAUCCUCACAUACUAGAAAAAUAGUAUAAUAACAAUAACUAUACCGUUCAAAAGUUUGGGGUCGCUUAGAAAUGUCCUUAUUUUUGAAAGAAAAGCAGUUUUUUUCAAUGAAGAUAACAUUAAAUAAAUCAGAAAUACAGUCUAGACAUUGUUAAUGUGAUAAAUGACUAUUCUAGUUGGAAACGGCUGAUUUUUAGUGGAACAUCUACAUAGAGGAACAUUUCCAGCAACCAUCACUCCUGUGUUCUAACGCCUCAUUGUGUUAGCUAAUAGUUGAAAGGCUAAUUGAUGAUUAGAAAAUCCUUGUGCAAUUAUGUUAGCACAUGAAUAAAGGUGCGAGUUUUCAUGGAAAACAUGAAAUUGUGUGGGUGACUGCAAACUUUUGAACGGUAGUGUAUGUCUGAUGGCUUCAACUGUGUGUUUAUGCAUCUGCAAAGGAGUACAAUCAAAGUGUAAGAUGAAAAGAAAGAUUCCACUCUCAAAUCCAGCAGCCAUUUUGCUAACUUUAGCUCAAGGACUGGAAACUUUGGCUCUGUCUAAAGCUAACAAAAUCACAGAAACAAAAACUCACAAAAAACAACAGUAAAGCUCAUUAAUACUAUAUGUCUUCUGUUAAAUUGAAACAAAAAACCUUAGUCUACAAACGACAAAUUGUGAAGUAAGUUCCUGCAACCUGAGUUUAUACACAUUAAUCAGAGAAGUAAUGAACCAGACUGGCUGUUUUCCAUUCCUAGUCCUGGAGUUGAGCUAACUGGCUGACAGAUGGAUAUGAGAAUGGGACUGAUCAUCUCAUCUUAACUCUCAGACAAAAUGUCAAACCAUUCCUUUAGUCUUCAGUCAAGGUGCAGACAUCUGAGGCUGAAACACAAACUCGGUCAAACUGUUGUUAAAUUACAAGUGAAUAAAAAAAAAACUAAUGUAUUUCAGCUUUAAAUGUCCACAGGUCUGGUCAGAGGAGAGGCAGCUGGUGUUUGAGAUAUUUUAACAGUAUUUGGACUGAAAAGAAAAAAAAAAGCAGGCACUUGUUGAUUUAGCAUCGGCAGCAUCUAAAUUAAAGCAAAGGCACAACUGGUCUGAAGGUUGGCUCGCUACACUGUUACAGAUGUCAGAUCUGGUUUAGAAAUGUGUGUGUGGACAAACUGAAGGAGAGGAUUGCAGCAAUGAGAGAUUUUCACCCAGUGGAAGUUCAGUGCUUUCUGUCUGUACGGAGCAGAGAAGUUGUGGUGUUGACAGGCAUCAGAAGAGUCCAUGUACAGCAUGUGUGUGAUCAUAUUUACAGUCUGAGUUUAACAGCUGUGGUGUCUCUCCACAAUCAGGAUCACCUCCAGUUGUAGCUGUGAAUGUCAGCAGAGGGACAGGCGGAAAGAUGAACUUCAGCGCAGGGAGACGGAUAAACGGAGCUCUUCAGAUUGUGCCCUUAAAUACCCAGAAGUCCUUGUGUUGUUCAGUCAGAUAGUCUAUUCAGUGAAGCUGAAGUUCAGGCCGGAGGCAUCUGUGAUUGGAGACGAG
ensembl:lncRNA